UUGAACGCUGGCGGAAUGCUUUACACAUGCAAGUCGGGCGGCAGCGCGGGGGCAACCCUGGCGGCGAGCGGCGAACGGGUGAGUAACAUAUCGGAACGUACCCAGACGUGGGGGACAACUAGUCGAAAGACUAGCUAAUACCGCAUGCGACCUGAGGGUGAAAGGGGUGGACCGCAAGACCUCUCGCAGUUGGAGCGGCCGAUGGCGGAUUAGCUAGUUGGUGGGGUAAAGGCCUACCAAGGCGACGAUCCGUAGCUGGUCUGAGAGGACGACCAGCCACACUGGAACUGAGACACGGUCCAGACUCCCACGGGAGGCAGCAGUGGGGAAUUUUGGACAAUGGGGGCAACCCUGAUCCAGCCAUUCCGCGUGAGUGAAGAAGGCCUUCGGGUUGUAAAGCUCUUUCGGCAGGAACGAAACGGUGGAGGCUAAUACCUUUCAUCAAUGACGGUACCUGAAGAAGAAGCACCGGCUAACUACGU
rnacentral:rRNA from 1 species